rnacentral:tRNA from 1 species
GGAUAAAUAGCUUAGGGUAUAGAGUAUCAUGCUGUAAACAUGGGGGUGUUUUUGACUUUGUCCU